rnacentral:rRNA from 1 species
GAUGAACGCUAGCGACAGGCUUAACACAUGCAAGUCGAGGGGCAGCAUAGAAGUAGCAAUACUUUGGUGGCGACCGGCGCACGGGUGAGUAACGCGUAUGCAACCUACCUAUCAGAGGGGAAUAACCCGGCGAAAGUCGGACUAAUACCGCAUAAAACAGGGGCACCGCAUGGUGAUAUUUGUUAAAGAAAUUCGCUGAUAGAUGGGCAUGCGUUCCAUUAGGUAGUUGGUGAGGUAACGGCUCACCAAGCCGACGAUGGAUAGGGGAACUGAGAGGUUGGUCCCCCACACUGGUACUGAGACACGGACCAGACUCCUACGGGAGGCAGCAGUGAGGAAUAUUGGUCAAUGGGCGAGAGCCUGAACCAGCCAAGUCGCGUGAAGGAAGAAGGAUCUAUGGUUCGUAAACUUCUUUUGCAGGGGAAUAAAGUGCAGGACGUGUCCUGUUUUGUAUGUACCCUGAGAAUAAGGAUCGGCUAACUCCGUGCCAGCAGCCGAC